CCUUAGUUGACUAAUUUUGUUUUAUCUGAUGAUAAUUGUAAAUGUUAAUGUGAAAUUUAAUCAAGCAACUACCAAAUUAACCUUAGUGUACACCCAAUUCUGGUUAUCUUUUUUCUGGUAACAGGUAUUUUUUGACCCAACAACAUACAGCCAUUAAUAUAGUCUAUAUAAUCUGACAGUCUUGUGAAGUUAACUACAAAUUUGCAUGGUAUUGCCAUUAAUUGUGAAAUAAAUGGACCUGAUUAAUGUAAUUGUGUGAUGAUAAUUGAACAAUUUAAAAUUUAUCUCGAUAAACUUGAUUAAACCUGAUCAACAUACAAUUUGCUGUGUAUGUUAGUGUGUUUAUUUUUCAUAGCAACGGAAUAGAAAAGCCUUUUUAUCUGACAUCCAACCUUGAAUGGUUUUACCGUUGACACCAAUUGAUUCAACACAAUUUAAAGUCAAUUUAAUCAACUAAUAUGAUGCUUAUGUUUUCAAGGUUAUCAAACUGAUAGUUUCUCUCACCAUUUGUCUGUGUUAAUCUAAUUUAAAUGAGACCCAACUGUCUCUAAUAAUUUAAAUAAUAGACAAAUUAUCAACAUUGAAAUGUCUUUGGGUAGACUCUUUAUGGUUGGUGUGAAAAAUGUUCAACUUCAAUUUUGUGUUGAUCAAUAACAAUCACUUCAACUGUUUAGUAUUUAGUUAAUUGGGUAAUUUAUAAGCAAUUUUGAUUAUUCAGACAAUUCAAGCAACAAUUAACAAUCCAAUGUUGACUAUUAUUGAAACUGUUAGUGCUUUUUGAAUGGUUCUUGGCAAAAAAAACUUGCAGCUUUCCAAGUGUUGGGAUUAUUUGAGUUUUUUAUUUCUUUCGGGUCUUAAAUUACAUUGAUUUAUGUAAUGAAUUUAAAUGAAACCCAAUCGGUCAUUGGCAUUGUCUUUAUUUACAGACAAUCAUCUUGAUUUCAUUUCGAUAUUAUUAACUUAAUCUUGAAUUAUCAUGUCAUUUCAAGGUUAACAUUCAUUACUUGGGUCAAUAUUGAACCUUUUUUAACAUUAACAAUUUACGCUUUCACAGGUUCGUUUAGUCUUUGAGCAUUUAUUUGCUUCUCAAUUUGCUUUUAUGCUUACAUUAAAUAUACAUCACAAGCAACUUUAUCGUCAACAUAAUCAUCAUCGUAAUCAUCGUAAUCAAAGCCAUUUUAAAUUGAAAAUCAAACACAAUUUACUUUCUUGCUUCAAUAAUUCAAAGAGUUCAAGGUCUUGAAUACUUUCAUUUUUUCAGGUUAUUAAAUUGAACAUUCAUUUAGCAGAACCAAUUGAAGACAAAAAGAGUUAACAAUUUAAUUCUCAAUAAAAUUUGCUGUUUACCAGAAAACAUUGAACACUUUAUCGUCUAUUAAACAUUAUUCCUGAAUAUUAACUUUCAUUCUUUGGCUAACUCAGUUGGCAGGUAACGAUUCUUGUUGAUUGCCAAUUUCAAUCUCAGCUAAUUUUAACAAUAUUAAGAUUAUAAAAGAUUAAAGAUUGUCAUAAUGUAAUAAGUAAAUCUUGUUGGAUUAACUUAUUGGGAUUUUCUGAAGAUUAUAGAUUAACCGUUAAAAUAUCCUUGUUAGUUACAUAAUUGUACAAGGAAAUGUUGCCAAUUCAGACUAUUUAUAAAUUGCUAAAUUAUGUAACAAUAAAAAUCCCUUUGAUCAUUGAAAGACAAAAGCAAUUUCAAGAUUAGCGCGUUAAAGAUGAAUCUUACGGUUACCAUAGUUUAAGGGUUAUGAGUAAAAGUUCACAGUUUCACUUUUAAUUGUUAAAAAUGGUCAACUUUCGAUUGUUUUAUCUAUGUUUUAUGUACAUUUACCUAUUUAAUUGAAAUUAAAUGCUUAGGUUUUUGGAUUUUAUUUCAUUUCCAGAGUAAUUUCAUUCAGUAUCAGCCACAUGGAACAAGGAAUGUGACUCAAAGGGUCUUGAGGGCGAAACAUUAAUUUUAUCAUGUUAUCAGUGCUAACAAUGACAAAAAAACCAACAAAAGUUAUGGAUUCCUAAGCAAAGCGAGGGAAAAAAGUGAAAUUGUUGAACCAAAAUGAUUUUUCAAUUGUAGCUACAGCAACAUUGAUGCAUCGGUGACCACAAUUUGUAUUAUCAACAAUAAUGAGAGUAGCUUUGUUUGGGUCAUUCAGUUUCACACUCCUUUCAUCAUCACCAUCAUCAUACCAUCUCUGGCUGGUUUGCUGAAAAAAAAA